rnacentral:lncRNA from 1 species
GAGAAUCUACACAAUACUGUGAUGCCACAUUUAGGCCGAAGGGGUGAACUUGGUGGCGUAGGCGAAGGCGUUGACAGCGCUGGGGUUGGCGAGGUGGUCAGACAGGUUCUCGAUGGGGCCCUUGCCGGUCACAAUGGCCUGCACGAAGAAGCCGAACAUGGAGAACAUGGCCAGGCGGCCGUUCUUGAUCUCCUUGACCUUGAGCUCGGCGAAGGUAUCCGGGUCGUCAGCCAGGCCCAGCGGGUCGAAGGCGCCACCGGGGUGAAGCGGGUCCAGGCCCUCACCCAGCGGGCCGCCGUUGGCGCGGUAAGCCUCAGCCAGGCCCAUCACGAC